rnacentral:rRNA from 1 species
UACGUAGGGUGCAAGCGUUAAUCGGAAUUACUGGGCGUAAAGCGUGCGCAGGCGGUUUUGUAAGACAGGUGUGAAAUCCCCGGGCUUAACCGUGGGAACUGCAUUGUGACUGCAAGGCUGGAGUGCGGCAGAGGGGGAUGGAAUUCCGCGUGUAGCAGUGAAAUGCGUAGAUAUGCGGAGGAACACCGAUGGCGAAGGCAAUCCCCUGGGCCUGCACUGACGCUCAUGCACGAAAGCGUGGGGAGCAAACAGG